rnacentral:hammerhead_ribozyme from 1 species
GCGCUGCUGAGGAGUCCCAGAAGAGGACGGAACGGUCGUCCAGUGC